GGGGCGUCUCUGUCACACACACACACACACACACGUACGCGGCUGCUGACUCAUGUCCUCAUCUACAGCGGCUCUCUCUCUGCCUUCUGCACGUCUCGGGCAUCUCAUCAAAGGACCGUACUCUCUCUCUGCCUCAGAUAGCGCCCAUUUGUCCUGCUGCUGUCUCACUGAUUAGAUGUCAUUUUCAGCUCUUACAAUUUCUUACUUUUGAUCCAUUUUUUUUAUUUGUACACGUCUGUGGCGUGGCUAGAUCUGGAGCUGCUUUAGUGUCUUUUUCUAGCCUCAAAUGAUUUAGAUGCACCAGGGAAAAAUAAACCCCAUGCUAAGAAAUUCACUAAGAAUGCAGUGACAUCGAGGUGGAAGAUGACAAAUACCUCCAAGUGUUGCUGGCCGCUGUGGGGGGAGAGAGGCCUCUAGGUGGCUCCUUGUUGGUAUUUUCCCUGGUGACCAGGGAACUCUUGUGUUUGAGGCAUUUCGGGGCGUCCAAGGAUUUCAGCUUCUUGGCGUGUUUGGUGCCU